ensembl:lncRNA
CCUGAUGAGACAAUACCUCAGGCCACUGAUAUUCUUUUCCCGUCUUCUUCUCCGGAACCUACGGCUGAAAGUGAAGGUGCAUCUCGGAGUCCUGUCAGCUCCCCAUUUGAGGACAGUGGGCCUAUCACUUCAACUCCGGAUAGUCGGUGUGAUCCCAGAGGCAACUCUAAAAAAUAAGAAGACGACCUUGCCAGGGCCAUGGAGAGCUUCUCGGAAACGCAGUGGCUCUGCUCCAGGCCAACAAGCAGCCGAGAGAUUGUUCAUGGUUCAUGGCCAGGCUGCCCAUAGACCCGAUUACACCAGGGUCUCUGAGUGUGUUGCACUGAAGCUUUUCAAGGAGUUCAAGGAAGGCAGAAAUAGACCAAAAGACCCUAAGGGGAGGACAUUUCCAAUUCCUCAGGCUAUUAUCAUGACGUAUGGUCAUAUUAAACAAUUAAUUGAGGAUUGCCAACAAAUCCUGCAAAGCACCAACCUGGUACUGGUGACCAUAAAUAAUACAACAGUCUCUUCUUGGCUGCAGGAUCGGCAGAAGAGGGCCGACCGCGAUUCUCUGCUUCAAGGGGUGGAGCUUCCUCAGCAGGUCCACGUGGCCGAGGAAUCCCUCCUGGAGGCCCUGGACCUACCAUCUGAGCCUGUUUCACAUGGGCAUGCAGAUCUGGAGUUCGAGGAACCUGACAACCGUGAGGGUGAGGCGGUGAUUCGGCGACGCCGACGCAAAACUCAGGUUUCCAGCGAAGACGCUGGAGGAGAUGAUGCUUGGACUGUUCCUUUCCCCUCUUCAUCUGACCUAGCCUAUUGUGAGCAGCGUCAACACCCAGCUCCUGUGUCUCAAUCACAGAGCUGGUACCCAUACCAACC